AGUCUGCGCAACGACCACUCGACGACGAGGCGGCGGUGCGGACGCACCGCCGCCUCGCGAU
rnacentral:sRNA from 1 species